GCCAGACUCCUACGGGAGGCAGCAGUGGGGGAUAUUGCACAAUGGGGGAAACCCUGAUGCAGCGACGCCGCGUGUGGGAAGACGGUCCUCUGGAUUGUAAACCACUGUCCCCAGGGACGAAGAUGACGGUACCUGACUAAGAAGCCCCGGCUAACUACGUGCCAGCAGCCGCGGUAAUACGUAGGGGGCAAGCGUUAUCCGGAUUUACUGGGUGUAAAGGGAGCGUAGACGGCGCUGCAAGUCCGGAGUGAAAGCCCAUGGCUUAACCAUGGUACUGCUCUGGAAACUGUGGAGCUUGAGUGCGGGAGGGGCAGGCGGAAUUCCUAGUGUAGCGGUGAAAUGCGUAGAUAUUAGGAGGAACACCGGCGGCGAAGGCGGCCUGCUGGACCGCGACUGACGUUGAGGCUCGAAAGCGUGGGGAGCGAACAGGAUUAGAUACCCGCGUAACG
rnacentral:rRNA from 1 species